rnacentral:rRNA from 1 species
GACGAACGCUGGCGGCGUGCUUAACACAUGCAAGUCGAGCGGUAAGGCCCUUUCGGGGGUACACGAGCGGCGAACGGGUGAGUAACACGUGGGUGACCUGCCCUCAGCUCUGGGAUAAGCCUGGGAAACCGGGUCUAAUACUGGAUAUGACUCCAUGACGCAUGUUGUGGGGUGGAAAGCCUUGUGCGGCUGAGGAUGGGCCCGCGGCCUAUCAGCUUGUUGGUGGGGUGANGGCCUACCAAGGCGACGACGGGUAGCCGGCCUGAGAGGGCGACCGGCCACACUGGGACUGAGACACGGCCCAGACUCCUACGGGAGGCAGCAGUGGGGAAUCUUGCGCAAUGGGCGAAAGCCUGACGCAGCGACGCCGCGUGAGGGAGUGACGG